rnacentral:tRNA from 4 species
GCCGUUUUAGCUCAGUUGGUAGAGCAACGCAUUCGUAAUGCGUGGGUCGGUGGUUCAAGUCCACUAAACGGCACCA